CAGUAAUGAUCCUUCUGUAGGUGAACCUGCGGAAGGAUCAUUA
rnacentral:rRNA from 1 species